rnacentral:rRNA from 1 species
UGGGGAAUCUUAGACAAUGGGCGCAAGCCUGAUCUAGCCAUACCGCGUGAGUGACGAAGGCCCUAGGGUCGUAAAGCUCUUUCGCCAGGGAUGAUAAUGACAGUACCUGGUAAAGAAACCCCGGCUAACUCCGUGCCAGCAGCCGCGGUAAUACGGAGGGGGUUAGCGUUGUUCGGAAUUACUGGGCGUAAAGCGCACGUAGGCGGAUUUGUCAGUCAGGGGUGAAAUCCCGGGGCUCAACCCCGGAACUGCCUUUGAUACUGCAAGUCUAGAGAUCGAGAGAGGUGAGUGGAAUUCCGAGUGUAGAGGUGAAAUUCGUAGAUAUUCGGAGGAACACCAGUGGCGAAGGCGGCUCACUGGCUCGAUACUGACGCUGAGGUGCGAAAGCGUGGGGAGCAAACAGGAUUAGAUACCCCCGUAGUCC